UUCAAAACUCGGCCCGCCGAGCUUUUCAAGACGACCCCCAAACGCUAAAACCAUGGUCCAUGGGAAGGACUGAUAUGAUGAAGAGAAACGAUGGGUACAAAAUGUUAACAGAUGAAGAUCUUUUGACCGAGGUGCUUUCCAGGCUCCCUGUAAAAUACCUACUCCGAUGCAAAGCCGUUUCCAAAUCUUGGUACUCUCUUAUUUCAAACCCUAGUUUCAUCAAAGCUCAUUAUCAACGUCAUGCUAUUACUAUCAACAGCGCCGGGGAUGAUAACAACGCUACUCUAAUUGGACGCCUUUUUCAAGGAGCAGAUUCUGAUCUUUAUUUUGAAGAAGACGGCUCCUAUUCACUCUUCCGACUCGGAACUACUGAUGAUUAUAUAGCCAGUCUUAAUUUUCCUUUCUCCAGAGGUGAUUAUCCUUUUACGCCUAACUGUAUUCCCGUUGGUUGUGUUUGCGGAAUUGUUUGUGUUUGUGUUGAUCCCUCUGCUCCUAUUGAUGCUUAUUAUUGCUUCCCUGCUCCUGAUAAAGCUACUGAUAUAUACAUUUGGAAUCCCGCAACCAGGCAAUCCAAACUCAUUCCCUCGCAUGCUCUGUACGAUUGUGAUGAUACGGAUAAAGUUGCUUUAGGCUUCGGGUUUGAUCUCGUUGAUUUUGAUUUUAAGGUUGUUAGGGUUGUAUCUCGUGCUAUUUUUCCUCAGGUAUAUUCUGCAAAUAGAGAUGUUUGGCAAAACAUUGAGACUAACUUGACUGAUUUUCCCCAAGAAGAUGUAUUUCAUAUAUGCCUUCAUGGAUUUUUGUUUACCACGGGAGAUAAUGGCAUGAUAGCUUUUGAUCUAAACAAGGAGGUGUUUAUUUGUGAUAUCAAACUUCCCGGAUGCUCCAAUGAACCUCGUGAAGAAUGUUAUGACGCUCGAAUUGUUGACUUCAAGGAUUCUAUUGCUGUCAUUACCUCUGAUGAUAAGGAGCUCAGUGGAAAACUUAACUUGUGGACACUAGAUGACGAGGCAUGCCUUCGUGGUGGUAGAGUUAAGGCAUUAUGGACUUUCAUGCUUAGUAUUGAUGUAGGUGUGCAUCUCAUGUAUGUGAAGGGCCUUUUCAGUAGUGUUGAAUUCUUACUGGUACUGGUACCUGAUAGUGAAUGGUUCUCCUAUAAUUUUGACAAGAAAGAGGCCAGAAGGAUUAAUACUGUUCGUUUUUCUGAUUUCGAUGCAGUAUUCAAGUAUACAGAGAACCAGCAGAUGCUUUUAGUCACGAAAUCAAAACUAGUCAAUUGGUCUGAUGAUGAAGAAGAUUUUAGUGAGGAAGUUAGCAUUAAUUUGGAAAAUGUCUAUGAUGAUUUUAUUGUUAUUUCAGAUGAUAGUGAGGAAAGUAAUUAAGAAGAUGAUAAUGAAGAAAGAACCGCUGAUUUCGAAGACAAUGAGAGGAGUAAUAUUAUCUCUAAAGAUGAUAAUGAGGAAACAAACAGAGAUUCUGAAGAUGAUAAUGAGGAAAAUACCUCAGAUUCUGGCAGUUAAUGAUGGCAUUACUCAUCUCAUUGUUUCAACAGGUAGUACUGAACAAUGAUCUAAACCAGAUCCUGGUAGUGUUAAGGUCAAUUGUGAGGUUGCUUUAUUCAGGCGAGUUAUUAUAUGCAGCAAGUAUAUGCUUUGUAGGUAGAUCAGAGGUUCAUCAUGCUGAAGCGAUUGGGAUAAAGGAGUCGUUAAGCUGGAUUAAGGCUAAGGUUGACAGUGGUGAGGGUAGUGGUGAUCCCUGCCUCACCUGCGGUUUAUAGUCUAUGUUACUCUGACUCUUCUAUCUAGGUUGCCGUACCCGUGUCGGACACUUGGACACUCGGACACGACACUUAUUUUGUAUCGGAUCCUUUGACUAAAAUGUGGACUCUUUGACCAAUUUAAAAAUCAAAUAUGAGUAAAACUUACAAUUCAAAAGAAAUAUGCGAGAAAAAAGAAAGAAGCAAGAAUGGGAUUUAAGUACAAAAGGCGCCUAAUUUACAAAAUCCCUUACAAAAUCAUGUCUAAUAUGAGUUCUAUUGUUACUUUUUGUUAAGAUGUCUAACUUUCCAUACUUGUUUAUUAGUAUAGUACGAUGUGUCCUCGUACCCGUGUCCAAGAAUAGGACAGUGUCCCCGUGUCCCCAAUUUUCAUAGUUCUCAAGUCCGACACUCGGAUAUGUGUCGUGUCCGACACUCCGUACCCGAGUCCGAAUAACAUAGUUUGUAGUCGAAUCUGAUAGCCAGUGGGCAGUGAUCCCAGGCCUCACCUGCAGUUUGUGGUCGAAUCUAAUAGCCAGUAGGCAGUGAAUGCAGUCCUGAUGAAGCAAGAAAAAAUCUACUCACCAUUUAGUAGUGUAAUAGAUGAGUGCAGAAGCAUUAUUGAAAUAUUAGUAUUGUAUUUUUAAAGGGGAGUCUGUCCCCCUGAUCUUAGUUGUAUCUUGGAAGAUGAUU